rnacentral:lncRNA from 10 species
CUCGAGUUCGAUCUGUCCCGCAGCCGGCGGUCUUGCGUCUUUCCCGCCCCCAGCACUGCCCCCGAGCACGUGCACGUGCCCACCGCCAGCCACAGCACUAACUGUGUGCCAGAGAGCAGUGAGAACCGAAGACACAGUAGCUUCUAUCAAGGCCCUCAUCGCCUGGUGGGAGACUGAGAAGGAAAGAAGGCAAUGAUGACAAGGUCAAAUCUCAGCUGAGAUGUCAUCUCCUCAAAGAUUUGCAUGGCUGUAGGCUUUGCCACCAGGAGAUAGUGACCCAACAAACAAGCUUGUAUGGGAGCCAGAUCAGCAGAAAGGCCUGAAGGUUCUCCCCACAUACUCCUGUUCCCACUCCCCUUUUCCUUUUGUGACUUAUCCCCAAUAAACCUCUAACACUGCUAACUCCAU